AUUGAACGCUGGCGGCAUGCCUUACACAUGCAAGUCGAACGGCAGCACGGGUGCUUGCCCCUGGUGGCGAGUGGCGAACGGGUGAGUAAUACAUCGGAACAUGUCCUGUAGUGGGGGAUAGCCCGGCGAAAGCCGGAUUAAUACCGCAUACGAUCUACGGAUGAAAGCGGGGGACCUUCGGGCCUCGCGCUAUCGGGUUGGCCGAUGGCUGAUUAGCUAGUUGGUGGGGUAAAGGCCUACCAAGGCGACGAUCAGUAGCUGGUCUGAGAGGACGACCAGCCACACGGGGACUGAGACACGGCCCAGACUCCUACGGGAGGCAGCAGUGGGGAAUUUUGGACAAUGGGCGAAAGCCUGAUCCAGCAAUGCCGCGUGUGUGAAGAAGGCCUUCGGGUUGUAAAGCACUUUUGUCCGGAAAGAAAUCCUUGGCCCUAAUACGGUCGGGGGAUGACGGUACCGGAAGAAUAAGCACCGGCUAACUACGUG
rnacentral:rRNA from 1 species